rnacentral:rRNA from 1 species
AUUGAACGCUGGCGGCAGGCCUAAAACAUGCAAGUCGAACGAGUGGCGGACGGGUGAGUAAUGUCUGUGAAACUGCCUGACGGAGGGGGAUAACUACUGGAAACGGUAACUCACACCGCAUCCCAUCGGCUGUGCCCAGAUGGGAUUAGCGAGUCGGUGGGGUAACGGCUCACCUAGGCGACGAUCCCUAGCUGGUCUGGGAGGAUGACCAGCCACACUGGAACUGCAACCCGGUCCAGACUCCGACGGGGGGCAGCAGUGGGUAAUAUUGCACAAUGGGCGCAAGCCUGCUGCAGCCAUGCCGCGUGUAUGAAGAAGUCCGUCGGGUUGUAAAGUACUUUCAGCGGGGAGGCGUUACCCGCAGAAGAAGCACCGGCUAACUCCGUGCCAGCAGCCGCGGUAAUUC